UACGGAGGGGGCUAGCGUUGUCCGAAGUUACUGGGCGUAAAGCGCGCGUAGGCGGGUUGGUAAGUCCGCUGUGAAAGCCCGGAGCUCAACUCCGGAGGGUCGGUGGAUACUGCCAGUCUUGAAGGUGCUAGGGGGGAGAUGGAAUUACCGGGUGUAGCGGUGAAAUGCGUAGAGUAAUCGGUUAGGAACACCAGUGGCGAAGGCGGUCUCCUGGGGCAUUCUUGACGCUGAGGCGCGGAAAGCUGGGGGGAGCAAACGGG
rnacentral:rRNA from 1 species